GCCUCUAGCUCAGUUGUUUAGAGUGCUGCGCCGUAAUCGCAGGGCCGUAUGUUCGAUUCCUGCCAGAGACG